AAAUGUGAGGGUGAUCUGGCUGUGACAUCUGUCACCUUAUUGAUCGCAGGGUUGAUUCUGCUGAUCUGGCUGGCUAGGCAGGUGUCCCCUUCCUCCCUCAACGCCCUUGUGCAUUCCUCCUGAAGCUGCACACUCAGUCUAAGAGGACAACCAUCCUCGAUAGAGGAGGACUGUUCUUCAGUCAAGGGUAUACGAGUAGCUGCACUCUUCUUCUGGAACCUUCCAACAAGUUCUCAAGGUCCAAAUACGGCAGCCAGGAAAGGGGCAAAUGGAGGAAACUGGGAGUCUCCUGGGAGCAGUGGGUGGGGUCUCCUGUCUC
rnacentral:snRNA from 10 species